UACGAGGGGGGCAAGCGUUGUUCGGAAUUAUUGGGCGUAAAGGGCGCGUAGGCGGUGCGGUAAGUCACCUGUGAAAUCUCUGGGCUCAACUCAGAGUCUGCAGGCGAAACUGCCGUGCUGGAGUAUGGGAGAGGUGCGUGGAAUUCCCGGUGUAGCGGUGAAAUGCGCAGAUAUCAGGAGGAACACCAAUGGCGAAGGCAGCUCGCUGGGACGGUACUGACGCUGAGACGCGAAAGCGUGGGGAGCAAACAGG
rnacentral:rRNA from 1 species